rnacentral:rRNA from 1 species
CGACCGGCGCACGGGUGAGUAACACGUAUCCAACCUGCCGAUGACUCGGGGAUAGCCUUUCGAAAGAAAGAUUAAUACCCGAUGGCAUAGUUCUUCCGCAUGGUAGAACUAUUAAAGAAUUUCGGUCAUCGAUGGGGAUGCGUUCCAUUAGCUUGUUGGCGGGGUAACGGCCCACCAAGGCAUCGAUGGAUAGGGGCUCUGAGAGGAAGGUCCCCCACAUUGGAACUGAGACACGGUCCAAACUCCUACGGGAGGCAGCAG